rnacentral:rRNA from 1 species
UACGAAGGGGGCUAGCGUUGCUCGGAAUCACUGGGCGUAAAGCGCACGUAGGCGGAUUUUUAAGUCGGGGGUGAAAUCCCGGAGCUCAACUCCGGAACUGCCUUCGAUACUGGAAAUCUUGAGUCCGGGAGAGGUGAGUGGAACUCCGAGUGUAGAGGUGAAAUUCGUAGAUAUUCGGAAGAACACCAGUGGCGAAGGCGGCUCACUGGCCCGGUACUGACGCUGAGGUGCGAAAGCGUGGGGAGCAAACAGG